UCUUGCUUGUCGUUUUGGGACAUAAACAGAACAAAGUUGAUAUAAAAAAUUAACAUUUAUUUUUAUAGAGUUAAAAAAUGUUAAUACAUAGGCAGACAAAGGAUAAAUAUAUAGUUAUAUAAUACACAAGCACAUCUACAGUACUUGAGAAUAACUCAGUUAGUUGAAAAUGGGUAUUUACAUUUACAUAUUUACACAAUAAUAAGAAAAGAAUCAUCCCUUUGAAUUUGAAUGUUUAUCUCAUGGAUCAUUCUAAUACUUACAAAGGAUUCUGGUCUAUAAUAGAAUGCAAUUUUCGUAGAAGAAAGCAACCAUAUCUUUCAAGGAUGAAUGAAGUUACGUAGGAAGUCUGUUGUAGUUUAAUAGAACUUUGUUGGGAUCAGUCAAUCAUUGCUUCCGUUUAAGGAUACAUAUAAAAUUAGAGUCAUUUUCUAUGGACACAAGGAAGAAGGCGAAAUGCUACAUAAUAUCUUCAUGAAAUUCACUGAAAUCAUACCGGAAUUAUUUGUAUUUGCAAAUCGAAUGAUGGACCAUCAAACAGGACUCCAUAAUUAUUCAAGGUUGUCUAAAUAAUUUGUUUAUGGAAUAAGAAACAGACAAAGGACAAUGACUGGCUAAGGAUAUUUAUUCAAACAGCAGAAGAUAUAAGCAGUCAUAGUUGAACAACUAACUAAAGGACUCCAUAAUUAUUCAAGGUUGUCUAAUGAAUUUGUUUAUGGAAUAAGAAACAGACAAAGGACAAUGACUGGCUAAGGAUAUUUAUUCAAACAGCAGAAGAUAUAAGCAGUCAUAGUUGAACAACUAACUAAAGGACUCCAUAAUUAUUCAAGGUUGUCUAAUGAAUUUGUUUAUGGAAUAAGAAACAGACAAAGGACAAUGACUGGCUAAGGAUAUUUAUUCAAACAGCAGAAGAUAUAAGCAGUCAUAGUUGAACAACUAACUAAAGGUUUGGAUCUCUGGAACACAUCAUCUCGUAAGCUGAUUAAAUGGACCCGUUCCUACAUUCCAACGACACUGCAAGAUACCCAUAACUACCAAGGCUGGCUUUUAUUUACUUUAAUAUAAUUUCUUAUAAAAUAUUUAGUAUUUUUAGAUGACAUUAUAUUUAGCAUAAUUACAUUUAAAUAAA